rnacentral:piRNA from 1 species
UGGGAAGAUACUGUGCCCCGUGGUGUU